AGUGUGUUGUGUGAAAUAUGUGCACUGUCGUUUAAAUUGUUUGUGCACUGUUUUAUUUGUAGGCUAUAUGUGAUUAAUGUGUUGUAUGAAAUGAGACAGAAGAAGGUUGCCUGUCAAUGAUGCUGCGUAUACCAAUUGUUUUAUGGUUGUGCAUGAACAGGGAAAUAAAGAAGCAUCUUCGUCAAGUGUUCGUCAGUCCCCUGUUUGACCACCGUCACACAUAACAUAGUACUUGCCGCCGCGUGGGACCCUGGCUUUGUUUACAUAAUUAGGGCCAUUGUCAGCUGCGCCUUGCAUAUUUAAGGCGGCUGCCUCGACUGGCAGCCUUGGCGCAAGAAUACUCGGUCGAACAAAGACAGGGAGUCCACCGAGGAAGGCCGACGGGGCCGGAUCACCUCUUCUGAUAAGUAUCAACCUAUUUGUAUUCUAAUCCAUACAUAUUCAUAGCUAGCAUGUGUUUCUUCAGCAUUCCCGCUCAUUACAACACUCGCAGACGUAGACGCAGAUAUGUCACAAAAUAUUAACGUUCCACUUCCAAUCUUAGCUACCUCUCCAGAUCUUCUCCACCUGCAGUCUCUCUUUCUAUAGGGCUCUGGAACUGCCAGUCUGCUGUGAACAAGGCAGAAUUCAUCCCGGCGUUUGCAUCCCAUGCUUCUCUGCACGGCCUUGCACUGACAGAGACAUAGAUCCGCCCAGAGAACACUGCAACUCCAGCUGCUCUCUCUGUCAACCACUCGUUCUCUCACUCACCUCGCUCAACCGGGCGAGGUGGUGGGACAGGUUUGCUUCUUUCCCCACAUAUUAAAUACACAUCCACACUACUCUCUGUUACUGCCAAGUCUGUUGAACACCAUUAUGUAAUGCUAACCGAUCCUAUCAUAGCACUCUUAAUUGUCCUCAUAUCGCCCACCAGGGCCGCUAGCUGACUUUGUGGAGGAGCUCGACAUGCUCCUCAGCGUCCUCCCGGAUGAUGGAACACCGCUGAUAUUCCUUGGGGACUUCAACAUCCACCUCUAAAGACCGCAGGCCGUCGACUUCAAGUCUCUUCUGACUUCCUUCAACCUGAAGCUGCUGAACACAACGGCGACCCACAAGGCAGGAUAACAACUUGACCUCAUCCUGACACGCCUGUGCGUUCUUCCCCCUCCUGCCCGUGGCUCACAGAUGUUAUUUGUGAAGAACGGUCCACCCUUCGGGCAUCUGAGAGGAGAUGGCGCAAGUCCAAAGACGAUCUGGACCUUGAUAAAACAACCUGCUUGACUCCAACCAAUCAGGCUUCAAGACUGAGCGGCUUUGAGGUCAUCCGUCAUCAUUCUGCUGGACCUUUCUGCAGCUUUUGAUACGGUUAACAAUCAAAUCCUGCUCGCCAGAUGGGCAUCACCGGCACUGCACUUAAGUGGAUCCUACCUGUCAGGAAUCUUCACCAAUCUUCACCUCCCAUGGCUUCUCCAAACACUGCUACGCUGAUGACACGCAGCUGUACCCGUCAUUCCCGACAGAUCCAAGGAUCUCAUCUAGGAUCGAGGCCUGCCUCACAGACAUCUCCGCCUGGAUGACCGAGCACCACCUCCAGCUGAACCCCGCCAAAACAGAACUCCUCAUCAUCCCGGC